GAUGAACGCUAGCGGCAGGCUUAACACAUGCAAGUCGAACGGCAGCACAGGUAGCAAUACUGGGUGGCGAGUGGCGCACGGGUGCGUAACGCGUAUGCAACCUACCUCUAUCUGGGAGAUAGCCCGAAGAAAUUCGGAUUAAUACCCCAUAAUAUAUGUCUUUCGCAUGUUAGACAUAUUAAAGCUUUGGCGGAUAGAGAUGGGCAUGCGUGACAUUAGCUAGUUGGUAAGGUAACGGCUUACCAAGGCUACGAUGUCUAGGGGGUCUGAGAGGAUUAUCCCCCACACUGGUACUGAGACACGGACCAGACUCCUACGGGAGGCAGCAGUGAGGAAUAUUGGACAAUGGGCGAAAGCCUGAUCCAGCCAUGCCGCGUGCAGGAAGACGGCCCUAUGGGUUGUAAACUGCUUUUAUAUGGGAAUAAACCUCCGAACGUGUUCGGAGCUGAAGGUACCAUACGAAUAAGGAUC
rnacentral:rRNA from 1 species